rnacentral:pre_miRNA from 1 species
GGUUGAAAUUUUCAAUUAUUUCUACUGUUAAAAACCGGCACAGCUAAUUGAAUAACCAAAUAAUUAUACCUGGCAUGCCACGUGUAUCUCAUAGAAUAAAUUUUUAAUAGUAAAAAUAAGUGAAAAUUUUAAAA